rnacentral:tRNA from 1 species
GGUGUGUUAGCUCAGUGGGUAGAGCUUAGUGCUAGCGACCGGGAGGUCCGGGUUCAAAUCUCGCAAGAGGCG